rnacentral:rRNA from 1 species
UCCACGCUGUAAACGAUGCAUACUAGACCAUGGUACUCUGACUGUUUCAUGGUUGUAGCAAAAGUGUUAAGUAUGCCGCCUGGGGAGUACGGUCGCAAGGCUAAAACUCAAAGGAAUUGACGGGGGCUCACACAAGCGGUGGAGCAUGUGGAUUAAUUCGAAGCAACGCGCAGAACCUUACCUGGGUUUGACAUGUUUGGAUGUCUUACCGGAAACGGAUAAGAUUGCUCC